rnacentral:rRNA from 1 species
GACGUAGGAGGCGAGCGUUGUCCGGAUUCAUUGGGCGUAAAGAGCACGCAGGCGGUUUGGCAAGUCGGAUGUGAAAACCCGAAGCUCAACUUCGGGCCUGCAUCCGAAACUGCCCGACUAGAGGUAGGUGAGGGAGGAUCGGAAUUCUUGGUGUAGCAGUGAAAUGCGUAGAUAUCAAGAGGAACACCAGUGGCGAAGGCGAGUCCCUGGACAAACCCUGACACUGAGGCACGAAAGCCAAGGGAGCAAACAGG